rnacentral:rRNA from 1 species
GACGAACGCUGGCGGCGUGCUUAACACAUGCAAGUCGAACGCAGUGGAGAACGGGUGAGUAAUGCGAGGGUAACCUGCCCUCCUUUUUGGGAUAAGCCUUGGAAUCGAGGUCUAAUCCAGAACAAUGGGGGAUGGGCUCGCGGCCUGUCAGCUUGUUGGUGGGGUGGUGGGCGACCAAGGCGGUGACGGGUAGCCGGCCUGAGAGGGUGACCGGCCACAUUGGGACGGCGCUACGUCCCACACUAGUACGCGAGGCAGCAGUGGGGGAUAUGGCACAAUGGGCGAAAGACUGAUGCAGCGACGCCGCGUGGGGGAUGAAGGCUUUCAGGUUGUAAACCUCUUGCGCUAUAGAACGGGUAGGUGGAGAAGAAGCGCCGGCUAACUACGUGCCAGCAGCCGCGGUAAUAC